rnacentral:rRNA from 1 species
AUUGAACGCUGGCGGCAUGCCUUACACAUGCAAGUCGAACGGCAGCACGGGAGCAAUCCUGGUGGCGAGUGGCGAACGGGUGAGUAAUAUAUCGGAACGUGCCCAGUCGUGGGGGAUAACGUAGUGAAAGCUACGCUAAUACCGCAUACGAUCUAUGGAUGAAAGCGGGGGAUCGCAAGACCUCGCGCGAUUGGAGCGGCCGAUAUCAGAUUAGGUAGUUGGUGAGGUAAAGGCUCACCAAGCCGACGAUCUGUAGCUGGUCUGAGAGGACGAGCAGCCAAACUGGGACUGGGACGCGGCGCAUACUCCUACGGGAGACAGCAGGGGGGAAUUUUGGACAAUGGGCGCAAGCCUGAUCCAGCAAUGCCGCGUGCAGGAUGAAGGCCUUCGGGUUGUAAACUGCUUUUGUACGGAACGAAACGGCGAGCUCUAAUACAGUUUGCUAAUGACGGUACCGUAAGAAUAAGCACCAGCUAACUACGUGCCAGCCGCCGCGGUAA